rnacentral:rRNA from 1 species
UACGUAGGGGGCAAGCGUUGUCCGGAUUUAUUGGGCGUAAAGAGCGUGUAGGCGGCUAGGUAGGUCCGUUGUGAAAACUCGAGGCUCAACCUCGAGCUGUCGAUGGAAACCAUCUGGCUAGAGUCCGGAAGAGGAGAGUGGAAUUCCUGGUGUAGCGGUGAAAUGCGCAGAUAUCAGGAAGAACACCCGUGGCGAAGGCGGCUCUCUGGACCAGCACUGACGCUGAGGCACGAAAGCGUGGGGAGCAAACAGG